CUGAGGAAUCUAACAGACACCCACCACCUCCUCACAGCAAGACGCAUCUACAGACUGAUACAACAGCACCUGGAGGAGAGCCGCAAGGAGCUCAGCCAGGAGCCUGUGAGUGUCCCAGCCCUUGAUCCCGUCUCUUUCUCUGAUUGGGUGGGUCUGUACCUGCGGAACAGUGACGGACAGGUGGAGUUCAGUCUGGUCCUUGUCUCAGUUCUGUCCCAGUUCAUCCAAGAACUCAAGAGUCCAGACCAGGCCUUCAAAGAUGAGGAGUGGUGGAACCCCGAGCAUCUGGACACUAACACCUGCUGUUACCUGAGCUGCUCGCUAAGAUGCUGUGUCUUCUGAUGGGCGGGGCUUCAGACGGACCAAUCACAGCGCAGUACAGACCACUGCUGAAGCUCCUCUUUAAGGUGCACCUGGGCUCUCCACUGCUCGUCUUCCGUUUCCUGUCCCUGAUCUGGAGCUGCAACGCUCUCCAGGGCGACCAGUUGGAGGGGCGGGGCCAUGUGCGUCUGGGGGCGGUGCUUCAGAUGCAGGCGCUGCUCAUGGGCGCCGCCCUGCUGGAAAACCAGAGCUCAAAGCAACUACAGGA